GACGAACGCUGGCGGCGUGCUUAACACAUGCAAGUCGAACGGAAAGGCCCUGAUUUUGUGGGGUGCUCGGGUGGCGAACGGGUGAGUAACACGAGAGUAACGUGCCCUUGACUUUGGGAGAACUUCAGGAAAGGGGGGCUAAUACCGGACAGGAGCUCCUGCUGCAUGGAGGGGGUUGGAAAGUUUCGGCGGGUGGGGAUGGACUCGCGGCUUAUCAGCUUGUUGGUGGGGUAGUGGCUUACCAAGGCUUUGACGGGUAGCAGGCCUGUGAGGGUGACCGGCCACAUUGGACCUGAGCUGCGGCACAGUCGCCUACGGUAGGCAGCUGUGCGGAAUAUUGCACCAUGGGCGGAAGCCUGAUGCAGCACCGCCGCGUGCGGUAUGACGGCCUUCGGGUUGUAGACCGCUUUCGCCUGUGUCGAAGCGUGAGUGACGGUAAUGGGUAAAGAAGCCCCGGCUAACUACGUG
rnacentral:rRNA from 1 species